rnacentral:rRNA from 1 species
CUGGGCUAGAAUGCCUCUGACAACCCUAGAGAUAGGGCUUCCUAGGGAAACCUAGGCAGAGUGCAAGGUGCUGCAUGGCUGUCGUCAGCUCGUGUCGUGAGAUGUUGGGUUAAGUCCCGCAACGAGCGCAACCCUUAUCGAUAGUUGCUAGCGGUUCGGCCGAGCACUCUGUUGAGACUGCCGUUGACAAAACGGAGGAAGGUGGGGAUGACGUCAAGUCCUCAUGGCCUUUAUGUCCAGGGCUACACACGUGCUACAAUGGCAAGUACAAAGCGCUGCAAACUCGCGAGAGGGAGCCAAUCGCAAAAAGCUUGUCUCAGUUCGGAUUGGAGUCUGCAACUCGACUCCAUGAAGCUGGAAUCGCUAGUAAUCGCGGAUCAGCACGCUGCGGUGAAUACGUUCCC